CACGUAGGGCGCAAGCGUUGUCCGGAAUUAUUGGGCGUAAAGAGCUCGUAGGCGGUCUGUUACGUCGGCUGUGAAAACCUGGGGCUCAACUCCGGGCCUGCAGCCGAUACGGGCAGACUAGAGUUCGGCAGGGGAGACUGGAAUUCCUGGUGUAGCGGUGAAAUGCGCAGAUAUCAGGAGGAACACCGGUGGCGAAGGCGGGUCUCUGGGCCGAAACUGACGCUGAGGAGCGAAAGCGUGGGGAGCAAACAGG
rnacentral:rRNA from 1 species